UGAUUAGACUAGAUGACUGUUUUUUAAAAGGUGAGUAUGGUGGACAGCUUUUGACAGCUAUAGGCAAAGAUGGCAACAACCAAAUGUUACCUAUUGCUUAUGUAGUUGUUGAAGCUGAAACUACAGAGUUAUGGUCAUGGUUGUUGGGCUUUCAUUACAUGACUUGAACAGUAUUCAAUAGAAAAAUUGGCUCCUUAUAUCUGACAAGCAAAAGGGCUUGGUUACUGUGAUAAAGGAUCUUGGUUCAAAUGUUCAACAUCGUCUACGUGUAAGACAUUUGUAUAGUAACUUCUGAAAGAGGCAUCCAGAUGCUCAUUUGAAGGAACUAAUGGCAAGCCGCAAGAGCCACCACUGUGCAAGAAUGGAAGAGAAUUAUGUAAAAGAUAAAAAAGGGUGAUGAAAGUGCUUAGAAAGAAUUGAAUGAACUAAAUGCAUCUUGUUGGACCAAGUCAGCAUAUGAUGUAAGUUCUCAAUGUGACUUGCAAGUUAAUAAUAUGUGUGAGGCAUUUAACAAAUUUAUUUUAGAACUAAGGGACAAGCCAAUUAUCAAUUUGAUGGAGGGGAUUAAGGUAUAUUUAAUGCAAAGAAUUGUGAGUCAGAUGGAAAAGAUGCUGAGGUAUAAUGGUCCAAUUUGUCCUAAAAUUCAAGAGAUAUAUGAGAAGAUAAAGAGAGAGGCUGGGGGUUGGACUCCUGAAUGGUGUGGUGAUGAUCAAUACUCACUAUUUGAGGUGUCUAAGAACUUUGAAAAGUUUGUGGUCAAUAUAAACAAAAGAACUUGUAGUUGCAGAAAGUGGGAUCUGAAUAGCAUCCCUUGCUGUCAUGGGGUAGCUUGCCUGUGGCAGAACAAUUAUAAUCCAGAGGCCUACGUGGCUGCCUGUUAUAGGCAUCCAAUGGCCCAGAUUUAUGGCCUGAAAAUGGAUUUCCACCAGUGCAUCCCUCUGCUAUCCGAAGAGCACCUGGUAGACCAAAGAAGGCAAGGAAAAAAGCAAAUUAUGAGCCACAAGACAGGUACAAGUUGCCUAGGCAAAAAUUAUCUGUUGUUUGCAAAUUUGUGGAAAAGUUGGACACAACAAACGAACUUGUAAAGGUAAAACAAGGGCUGACAGGGAGAUUCCUAAAGGUGAAAACAAGAAUUUGAAAAGGAAAAGAGCUGCACCCCGAUCUGUUCCAAAUAAGAAAUUAAGGAUGGAGCCAAUCUUUAAGUCUGGACUUGGUGAAACAUCUGCAUCAGCGUAACAAGCACCUAUUGCUGAAUCAGCUGCACCUAUACCAACUCUAAAUGGUUCAUCACAAUCAGCAUCUACUGCUAAUUCAAUUGAAGGUGUUAAUUUGAGAACUACAAGGUCAACCGCACGUGCAUUUGGUGCACCUCCACAGAGUUAGGGUAGUUCUGGUGCACCUCCAGUGAUUCAAGUUAGUUCUAUUGCACUCCCAAUGAUUCAAAUUAGUUCUACUGCACCUCAUGUGAGUUGAGCUUCUUCUGCUGCAACUCCAUUGAGUCAAGUUUCAUCUGUGCCAUCUCUUGCACCACUUGGUAGCCAAGCAUCAUUUGCUGCACCACCAAUCAACCAUACUUCAUUUGGUAGAUUAACCAGUCACAAUGUAGUUGAAUCUGCACCACAGACUCUGCACCAGUCUCCACGGAAAAAAACUUGCUUGGAUGCGGACUAAACUUUGUAGUUCCUGUGAAUGUUUUGUGGUUGUAUUUUAGGAAUAUUUUUUGGUUGUAAUUUGGAUAUUCUUGGUACUAUGUUGGCUGUUAUGUAUUUUGAUUGUCUAAGAAUGGUGUGUUUUGGUACACUUCAAAUGCCUAUAGACCAUUCAUAGGCAAGUACUCAUUAUUGAUAUCCCUUCAUAUAAAGUAGUUAUUUAUGCUAA